UCCCGUGUGGCUCAGUUGGUAGAGCAUGGUGUUUGCAACACCAGGGUUGUGGGUUUAAUUCGUACUGGGGAA
rnacentral:tRNA from 1 species